rnacentral:rRNA from 1 species
GACGAACGCNGGCGGCGUGCUUAACACGUGCAAGUCGAACGAAGAGCGACGGAAGCUUGCUUCUAUCAAUCUUAGUGGCGAACGGGUGAGUAACGCGUAAUCAACCUGCCCUUCAGAGGGGGACAACAGUUGGAAACGACUGCUAAUACCGCAUACGAUCUAAUCUCGGCAUCGAGGAUGGAUGAAAGGUGGCCUCUACAUGUAAGCUAUCACUGAAGGAGGGGAUUGCGUCUGAUUAGCUAGUUGGAGGGGUAACGGCCCACCAAGGCGAUGAUCAGUAGCCGGUCUGAGAGGAUGAACGGCCACAUUGGGACUGAGACACGGCCCAGACUCCUACGGGAGGCAGCAGUGGGGAAUCUUCCGCAAUGGACGAAAGUCUGACGGAGCAACGCCGCGUGAGUGAUGACGGCCUUCGGGUUGUNA